AUGCGCUGCACAGGGCGGGGUGUCCGGGAGCCGAGCACCCACAUGGUUUCCAGGGGGACUCGUGGGGGCAAACGGGCGGGGGUUUGCGGGGCACCACGGGCUGCGGGGAUUCGUCCCAAGACCACGGCGAGGAGCGGCGGUGCUGGAGGCAGGGCUGCCCCCUCCUCCUCUUUGUCUGCACCCGGGCCAGGCGGCCUAGGGGCUCGGAGAGGGGGAGAGGUGGCUCCGGGCAGCCAGGAGGGGCGGGGGCUGAGCCCCCCCGGGCCGCGGUCCCUUCCCCCUCCGCGGGGCACAGCGGGGCUGCGCAUCUCCAUAAGAAUGGGGACGGCAGCCGCGGGGCAGCGCUCGGAGCGCGGCGGCGCUGGGGCCGGCAGCUCCCUCCCGAGUGCAACUUUAAAAGGAGUUUUCCGAACCUCCGGGGAUAAAAGGGUUUUCUCGUGUUUCAGAGAGACGCCGGAGAUCCUCCGCAUCGCCGCUUUUAAUCCCCUCCAUUCACACGGUCGCAGCGUGAGCCCGCCGUGCGCGGAGGGGCUCCGCUCGCUCCCGCACCGAGGAGCGGACAAAGCUCCGGGCCCCGGCCCGCACGGCUCGAGGAAAAACAAUAAUAUAAAACAAAACAAAACAAAAAAAGUAAAAAAGAAUAAAACUAAGCACGAGAACGCUCCCGGCAGAGAACUUCCCGAAGAAAGCCGCUUUCUGCACCUGAACGGACGGGCGGUAGGGGGAGGGAGGAGAACAAAUGCAAUACGAAGGAAUCGGAAGAAAAGGAACCGCUCAGCGCGCAGCGCGCACCCACCCCGCGCCCAGCCCCGCACCCUUACCUGGGGGCAGCCGCGCGGCCCCGCUGCCCGCACCCGGCCCCGCCGCUGCCCGCUCCCGCAUCGCUAUGGCAGCGGCCGCCGCGGCGGGAGGAGGGCGGGGACGGGGGGCGGGGCGGCCCGGCCCCAGGGACACCCCCGGCAGCGAGGACACCCCGCUCCCCCGGCCCCUCCUGCGGUGCUGUCGGAGAGUUUGACCGAGCACGCGAGGGUUCGCUUCCUUACGUGGCCCUGGUACGUCCCACAUGUUUGA
rnacentral:lncRNA from 1 species